ACAGAUAUAGCCUAGUGGAUCAUGGCAGUGGAUUUUGAAUCCAACAUGGGCGGGUUCAAUUCUCGUCGUUCGUC
rfam:Citrus clementina cultivar Clemenules unplaced genomic scaffold scaffold_5, whole genome shotgun sequence.